rnacentral:rRNA from 1 species
CGCCUGCCCUGUGAUAAUUAUUUAACGGCCGCGGUAUUUUGACCGUGCAAAGGUAGCGCAAUCACUUGUCUUUUAAAUGAAGACCUGUAUGAAUGGCUUGACGAGGGCUUAACUGUCUCCUUUUUCCAGUCAAUGAAAUUGAUCUUCCCGUGCAGAAGCGGGAAUAUAACCAUAAGACGAGAAGACCCUAUGGAGCUUUAAACUAAAGCAGAUCUUGUUAAACGCAUCUAAUUAAAGAAAUAAACUUAAAAGAACCCUGUCAUUUAUGUUUUUGGUUGGGGCGACCAUGGGGAAACAAACAACCCCCAUGUGGACUGAGAAAACAGUUCUCACAACAAAGAGCCACAGCUCUAAUUAACAGAACUUCUGACCUUGAGAUCCGGCAAUGCCGAUCAACGGACCCAGUUACCCUAGGGAUAACAGCGCAAUCCCCUUUUAGAGUUCAUAUCGACAAGGGGGUUUACGACCUCGAUGUUGGAUCAGGACAUCCUAAUGGUGCAGCAGCUAUUAAGGGUUCGUUUGUUCAACGAUUAAAGUCCU